rnacentral:lncRNA from 1 species
UGUAAGGGAAUAUCACGAUUGUGACUCCUGAAGGGUGGCAGCUGAACUGGUUCUUUAAAAAUAUUUUGGUAUCUAAUAAAAGUUUUACAUCAGCACCUAAGUUGGAGUCGGUUUCUAUAAUUUGCAUCUCACCAGCAAUUUUCACAAUGGUGACUCAGUCUGAGAAUCAAUUCCCCUUUGAAAAUUCCCUUCUCAGAACAACGUAGUCUGUAGGCUGCAGCUCCCCUGUCAAACCUUGCAAGGACAUGUGGUUCUACGGUUCAGCAUGC